rnacentral:misc_RNA from 1 species
UCUCCGUUGGUGAACCAGCGGAGGGAUCAUUAUAGAGUUUUCUAAACUCCCAACCCUUUGUGAACACAACUUGUUGCUUCGGGGGCGACCCUGCCGUUUCGACGGCGAGCGCCCCCGGAGGCCUUCAAACACUGCAUCUUUGCGUCGGAGUUUAAGUAAAUUAAACAAAACUUUCAACAACGGAUCUCUUGGUUCUGGCAUCGAUGAAGAACGCAGC